GACGAACGCUGGCGGCGUGCUUAACACAUGCAAGUCGAACGAUGAAGCGCCAGCUUGCUGGUGUGGAUUAGUGGCGAACGGGUGAGUAACACGUGAGUAACCUGCCCCCUACUCUGGGAUAAGCCUGGGAAACUGGGUCUAAUACUGGAUAUGACCAAUCACUGCAUGGUGUGUUGGUGGAAAGAUUUUUUGGUGGGGGAUGGACUCGCGGCCUAUCAGCUUGUUGGUGGGGUAAUGGCCUACCAAGGCGACGACGGGUAGCCGGCCUGAGAGGGCGACCGGCCACACUGGGACUGAGACACGGCCCAGACUCCUACGGGAGGCAGCAGUGGGGAAUAUUGCACAAUGGGCGAAAGCCUGAUGCAGCGACGCCGCGUGAGGGAUGACGGCCUUCGGGUUGUAAACCUCUUUCACCAGGGACGAAGCUAACGUGACGGUACCUGGAGAAGAAGCAUCGGCUAACUACGUG
rnacentral:rRNA from 1 species